UUCUUAUUGGAUCAUAACUAUCACAUUUCAUUUUUUUUAUUAGCUAAUGACAACAACAAUGUAUUUCAUCUUCCAUGAAGUUGACAUUUAAUCAGAAUAUGACACGUGACAGUCAUCAUUC
rnacentral:pre_miRNA from 1 species